ensembl:lncRNA
CAGCCAUAUGAAACGCUUUUAAGUAACAGUAAAGAACAGAGGACACCAGAAUCUGGCUAAUACCUUGAAAAGCUUGUCAGAGUUUGGUUGUUUACAAACAAAACUCUAAUUUACAUUUCAGUGUCCUUUGUCUCAUAUGUAGAAUUUGUCAUUCAUAUAUCAAAACACUCUGGUUCUACCAUGACUUUUUUUUCUUUUUUUUCAAUAAAGUUGUUAACAAAAAAAAGUUAGAGAAAAUAAAAAUGUGGAAAAUGUGUUUCUGUAUUAAGCUCUAGUCUUGAAUCAUGACACACCCAGUGCUGCUCUUUUUUGGUUCAUUUUCAAAGGAGAGAGUAAAAGCCCUUGUUUGAGUGGCCUAGAUAACAGACAAAGAGUGGAGUUCCCGCCGUGGGGUCAGCUGGGAGAACUAGAGCGACAGACAGCGUGCCUUCCCGUGGAAUGGAUGCUGCCAUUGCACACAUGAUACAAUCAACUCAAAGCACAGGGGUGAGUGAUCAAACAACCUUUCCCCUACACCUCUCUUCCCCAGACCACCCACAACAAAACAUCCCACCCACCCUGGUACACCAACAGUAACGUAAGGUAAGAUCAGACACACACACACACACACACACACUCACACACACACACACUCAUACUCAUACACACAUACAUUAACAAACACAUACACUGACGCAAAACUGACAAAUCUCCUUGUUUCCACCCCAGGUGUAACUUUUCAGACUAACACACCCACCACAGUUUUGUCAUCAUAAUUACAUAUCUGAAAACAUUUUUGGUUUGUAACAAUACAGGUAACGACUGUAAUCGGUCAUCUGUGGCCUCCUGCCUGCAUGUUGUGAAAGGAGGGGAAGGGAGAAGGGAAGGGAACCCUAAACAGAGACCAUUCAAAGAAAGAACAAGAACAGAAACACCAGCCAGCAGGACUUGUCAGUACAGUGUGUGUAUGAUGAUUUUUUUUUUCUUCAUUUUUUUGGUCUGUCAUUAGUACCCUCUCGAAAAAGUUUUUACAACUUCUCCAGAAGUCAAAAAUAGAAGAGCGAACCAGUUAGUCACCUGAACUGAUGUAGAUGCACAGGUCUGAUGACACCACAAAAAACACCAACGUCUACAUGCAUGGAAGACAAUUACACGUAGCAUUCCUCUGGUUUUGAAAAAAACCAUUCCCUAUUCAGUCUCCCACGUCUCCCCUCCCCUUAUUCUAACAUAAAAUUAUUCAACUCUACAAAUGUACUUUUUUGUAUUUGGUGGCUGGGGUAUUACUUGAGAAAAAAAACAAAAGAAACAGAUUACAUUUUUUUUUUAUAUAUAAAAGGAAACAAAACAAAAAUCCAAGGAUUACACAACAGUAUUGAACAAAAGUGACCAGGGUGGCUGCAGAGUGUGUGUAGAGUGUGUGUGUGCGUGUGUGUGUGUGUGCGAGUGUGUGUAUGGGAGAGAAAGAGAGAUAGAAAUCCAUUUCCAUAGAAAGAACCUAUACAUUCUCCUCUCCCAACCUCUGUCCUGCACAGUACUUUCCUGUCUCUUCGGCCUGUUAGCGGUAUGUCUGACAUACGUCCUGCUGCAACCUCAGCACUCCUUUGUUUUCUUUCUGAAUGAAAGCAUCCUAUGCUCUGACCUGUGUCCUACGGAAGAGGUCCAAUUGCUGAAAAAAAUACUUGUGCUUAACACAUUUUCAUUAGUUGUCAGCUGUUGUAAACGUUGUGUCUGUGUGUGUGUUUGUGUGUGUGUGUGUGUGUGUGUGUGUGUCUUGUGGGUGUCCAUAUACAAGCAUUGAGAGGUUUGAUAAAAGUACUUUAAACAACCUUAUUACAAUACUAUAAGGUUCUUUUCACUUACUUAAUAAUAGUGCUACGUUGAGCUUGUUUUUUUUUUUUUUUUUUUUUUUUUUUGAAACUCCGUUAAAAAGGAACCGACUUGCAACAAGCAGAACAGGAUGUAAGGAUAUCUUGCAUUGGUGUUCAGUUCAAGGGUGUCUGAGGUUGUUCUGUGAGGAAACGGAAGGGAUGACCACUGUUGGUACAGCACUUUGGUACAAGCGUGGUGGUGAUGGUGGUGGUGGGGCUGGGGAGCCGUGAGUAGGACCCAGAGAGGGAGGUGUCCACUGUGACUGGAGAGAGCUGCAGACUCCUCCCCAAGACAGAGGGGCGUCUGGUGCUCAGCCGCCUGCUGGUUUCACCCUCAGAAAUGAAUGCAGAAGUCUACAGAGGGUGACGCCUUGUUUGUGUGUGCGUGUGCGUGUGUGCGUGUUGGUGGGUGGAUGAUGAGUGAGUUCAAUCAUCUCAGGCCUUUGUUAGGAGACCGGUCAUCACAUUACGUUGCGUGUUGUUUUUAGGCUCACAGGAAGGAACCUCUCUGUGUGUUCUAUCUCUCUCGCUCCUCUAUGUGGAGGAGUGUUAUCACGGUCCAGCAGUGAGUUUUGCCCCUUUGUGAUGAAGGCAGUCCUGUCUUUUUGUGUUUCUGCUGCGGUCCUCAGAAGUGAGCAUUGAGUGUUUGUGUGCUUUUUCCCCCCAUCAUGCCUGGCCCGGUGGGAUGGUCCAGAGGGCUUAUGGGUAGUGUCGAUCUUGAGGUUGGGGAGGGGGGGGGAGGGUGUCAGAGCAAGGAGAUGGCAGUGGUUUGGGGGGCCACAUCAGGGACAGUGGAAGGAGCGGUGGGUCGAGAGCACGUGUCAGUGGGUGUCUGUGUGAGAGUAGGGAAGAAAAGCAUUUGUCUUAGUUAGAGGUGUCUGAAUGGAUGCUGCCGGGGGCACCAGGUGGAGAGGUGACGGAAGAGGGGUUGGUGGUGUCCUGCCAGCUGUUGUUAG